CCCACUUCUAGUUUUAAUUGAAAAAUUGUGGCUCAAAGCAGAAAUGAAAGAGUCAAAUUGUAGCCCAUUUACUAGAAAGAAGGUCAUGCUAGUUGUGAUGAUACAUUUUUAUUUAAAUACAAGAAAAACCUUUUGCUAAUUGCUUUCACAUAGCGCAGCUGUAAAUUUUUUUUUAUCUGUCUUGCUGCAGUUUGUGUCUCUGCAUUUCUUGUCUUGUUCUGAUUAUUGAAGAAUGUUUUUUCUUUACUUUUUGGAGCUCUACAGUGCUGGCAUUUAUCAAGUGAAGACACACAGCACAGCCUUGUAUAAAUAAUGGCACUGGGCCAAGUACAGCUGAGGUGGUUGCCAGCACAACUCCAUUGAAGUCAAAGGAAUUGCACCACGGGUGAGUUUGGCCCUAGGCUCAGGUCAUGGAGGACUUUAACAUGACAAUUUUCAGUAAUGCUUCAGCUGUUUGAGGUAGUUGAGUCUGGGUUUGCUUUUUGGUUGAGUACUGUAUUUUGUUUCAAAUAAAGGAGCUGAACUUCUGCUCAAUGGAGUGAAUAGGGCUUUUAUAAGUGGACUACUUCUGCAGUUUCUGUCCUCAAUCUGCUUUGCCUGACUUACGGAGAGGCAGCAGAGGUUUGGCGCCACAAAACAGCGUUGCUACCUUAAAGAUGACAUCAGCUCCCCUGGAUCCAGAGCUAUUGUGUGAAGGUGUUGUCUUCUGCCCCAGGUCGCCCUUUCCCUUCAAGAAUACAAAGGAAACAGGGCCAAAUGUGGAAAAGAAGGAAAUGAGCACAUUGUGUCUGAGUUAGCUUCCCAGGAUCAAAUGUCCCCCUGCAUGAACCUUUGCAUGUAUUUAUGAAAUAAUAUUUUUCUUUGACAGGGCACAAAUGAACUCAGCAGCUCAGUUAUUGCUAUGCCAGACCUUUAUAACAUGCUUUAUGUGCUUCUCAAUAUGAUUGUAUAUUUCCUGUCUCUAUACAAACCUCUCUAUGUGUAAGUGUCAAAACGUUAUUCUGCUGGUAUUGUGGCCAAUAUCAGCUGGAAUUUUGUCUUUUACUUUGAGGAAGAGGGGUCAAAUUCAUAUUUGUUACUGAGAAAUGUGCUUUCACGUAAUGUGAGACCCUGUGUAUCACUCAGUGUUCCUGUGAAAGAAGAAGCAUCUCCAAAAUCACACAUAGUCAAAGGCAAUAGAAAGACUCACUUUAUAAGGUUUGGUCUUUUCUACAUCCCACAGUGGAACUUUAUGUCUUUUCUGCUCUAAAAUCAUGUUACUAAAGGACACAUGUGAGACAGCAGGUCAAAUUGGAAGAAAUGCACCAUUUAGAUCU
rnacentral:lncRNA from 1 species